UCGACGGCAGCACAGAGGAGCUUGCUCCUUGGGUGGCGAGUGGCGGACGGGUGAGUAAUGCAUCGGGAUCUACCCUGACGUGGGGGAUAACCUCGGGAAACCGGGACUAAUACCGCAUACGUCCUACGGGAGAAAGCGGGGGACCUUCGGGCCUCGCGCGGCAGGACGAACCGAUGUGCGAUUAGCUAGUUGGCGGGGUAAUGGCCCACCAAGGCGACGAUCGCUAGCUGGUCUGAGAGGAUGAUCAGCCACACUGGGACUGAGACACGGCCCAGACUCCUACGGGAGGCAGCAGUGGGGAAUAUUGGACAAUGGGCGCAAGCCUGAUCCAGCAAUGCCGCGUGUGUGAAGAAGGCCUUCGGGUUGUAAAGCACUUUUAUCAGGAGCGAAAUACCACGGGUUAAUACCCUAUGGGGCUGACGGUACCUGAGGAAUAAGCACCGGCUAACUUCGUGCCAGCAGCCGCGGUAAUACGAAGGGUGCAAGCGUUAAUCGGAAUUACUGGGCGUAAAGGGUGCGUAGGCGGUUACUUAAGUCUGUCGUGAAAUCCCCGGGCUCAACCUGGGAAUGGCGAUGGAUACUGGGUGGCUAGAGUGUGUCAGAGGAUGGUGGAAUUCCCGGUGUAGCGGUGAAAUGCGUAGAGAUCGGGAGGAACAUCAGUGGCGAAGGCGGCCAUCUGGGACAACACUGACGCUGAAGCACGAAAGCGUGGGGAGCAAACAGGAUUAGAUACCCUGGUAGUCCACGCCCUAAACGAUGCGAACUGGAUGUUGGUCUCAACUCGGAGAUCAGUGUCGAAGCUAACGCGUUAAGUUCGCCGCCUGGGGA
rnacentral:rRNA from 1 species